ensembl:lncRNA
CAAAACCUGAGGCGCAGCCAACCACAGACUACUAACCCUAUCCAUGGUGCUGACAGAGUCCCACUGUAUGGUCCAGGCUGGCCUCAAACUCUCAGCAAUCAUCCAGCCUCAGCUUCCUGAGUGCUGAGAUUACAAGCAUGUACCACCACGCCCAGCACAUUCACGUUUUACUGAAUUUAAGGAGUUAUUCAACAGGAAUUCUGACUACUCUUGAUGGAAGGAGCUCAGCUGCCAGUACUUUUCAGGAAAGCAAGUCUAUUACCAUCCCGCAUAUCUUCACUACCCCUGUUCCUGCCUCUGAGCCUGCCAUGGAGUUUGCCCUGGAGUUGUCUUCCUGCUGCCUGAUGGUUCCUACGUCUUCCCUAAGACACCAGGCUAGUCAGACAGAAUGGACCUAUGAGGGAAGCCAACACAAGAGCACAUAUAGUACCCAGAGUACCAAAUUCGCCCAUUUAUUUAUUUAACAAGGAAUGGAAGACAUUCCUUGUUCUGCUGUGAGAAUACAACAGGCGAGCCAGUCUGCUUCCUGCCCAGCCACCCUCUAUUCCAGUUCUCAGCUCUGCCAGAGCACAGACACUGGUAAAAGUCCCAAAUAAGCCAAAGAAUACUGAAGAAGAGCAUCCACCAAGAUAGUGCAGGUGUUAUCAAACACAGGCUGGCCACAGGCUCCAGGAAGAGAGGAAAGAGCAC